rnacentral:piRNA from 1 species
UGUGAACUUGAACAAAAGGAUUUUGCAC